UACAGAGGUCUCAAGCGUUGUUCGGAUUCAUUGGGCGUAAAGGGUGCGUAGGUGGCGCCAUAAGUCAGGUGUGAAAUCUCGGAGCUCAACUCCGAAACUGCACUUGAUACUGUGGUGCUUGAGUACUGGAGAGGAGAUUGGAAUUUACGGUGUAGCAGUGAAAUGCGUAGAUAUCAGGAAGAACACCCGUGGCGAAGGCGGCUCUCUGGGACGGUACUGACGCUGAGACGCGAAAGCGUGGGGAGCGAACAGG
rnacentral:rRNA from 1 species